rnacentral:rRNA from 1 species
UACGGGGGGAGCAAGCGUUGUUCGGAUUUACUGGGCGUAAAGGGCGCGUAGGCGGCCACCGCAAGUCGACUGUGAAAUCUCCGGGCUUAACCCGGAAAGGUCAGCCGAUACUGCGGGGCUAGAGUGCAGAAGGGGCAACUGGAAUUCACGGUGUAGCAGUGAAAUGCGUAGAUAUCGUGAGGAAGACCAGUGGCGAAGGCGGGUCUCUGGACAGUUCCUGACGCUGAGGCGCGAAGGCCAGGGGAGCAAACGGG